GACGAACGCUGGCGGCGUGCUUAACACAUGCAAGUCGAACGGAAAGGCCCUGCUUUUGUGGGGUGCUCGAGUGGCGAACGGGUGAGUAACACGUGAGUAACCUGCCCUUGACUUUGGGAUAACUUCAGGAAACUGGGGCUAAUACCGGAUAGGAGCUCCUGCUGCAUGGUGGGGGUUGGAAAGUCUCGGCGGUUGGGGAUGGACUCGCGGCUUAUCAGCUUGUUGGUGGGGUAGUGGCUUACCAAGGCUUUGACGGGUAGCCGGCCUGAGAGGGUGACCGGCCACAUUGGGACUGAGAGACGGCCCAGACUCCUACGGGAGGCAGCAGUGGGGAGUAUUGCACAGUGGGCGGAAGCCUGAUGCAGCAACGCCGCGUGCGGGAUGACGGCCUUCGGGUUGUAAACCGCUUUCGCCUGUGACGAAGCGUGAGUGACGGUAAUGGGUAAAGAAGCACCGGCUAACUACGUG
rnacentral:rRNA from 1 species